UACGUAGGGUGCAAGCGUUGUCCGGAAUUAUUGGGCGUAAAGGGCGCGUAGGUGGCUUCUUAAGCGUGCGGUGAAAGCCUGGGGCUCAACCCCGGGUCGGCCGUGCGAACUGGGGGGCUGGAGCACUGUAGAGGCAGGCGGAAUUCCGGGUGUAGCGGUGGAAUGCGUAGAGAUCCGGAAGAACACCAGUGGCGAAGGCGGCCCGCUGGGCAGUGGCUGACGCUGAGGCACGAAAGCGUGGGGAGCAAACAGG
rnacentral:rRNA from 1 species